CGGCGGACGGGUGAGUAAUGUAUGGGGAUCUGCCUGAUGGCGGGGGGUAACUACUGGAAACGGUAGCUAAUACCGCAUAAUGUCUACGGACCAAAGCGGGGGACCUCCGGGCCUCGCGCCAUCAGAUGAACCCAUAUGGGAUUAGCUUGUAGGUAAGGUAACGGCUUACCUAGGCGACGAUCCCUAGCUGGUCUGAGAGGAUGAUCAGCCACACUGGGACUGAGACACGGCCCAG
rnacentral:rRNA from 1 species